UUGGGGGGGGGACCGGAGGCGCAGCUGCGGGGUCCCUGGAGCUCCCAGGCGAGGCCUGGUACCGGAAGCCCUUUCCCUCUGAGGCGCUCCUCUGUUCUCUCGGGGCCGCCACAUUGUGGGGUCGGGCAGGUCGCGCCCCUCCCCCAGCUGAAGAGCGGCGCUCAGAAGAGCCCUUCCCCCCACCGCAGCGGCUCCUGGGUGAGAGAAAAACAAGGGCGGGCUUCGCGGCUGCUCGGAGCCGGGCAUGCGCAGUGAGUACCCUCCGCUGCUGCGGGGUUCCAGCGCCGUGACCACUGCCCUGGGUCCCUGGACACACCCCCUCCCCCGCCCGGAGCACCUGCUUUUUCUUCACCAGGCCUCGGCUCAGUAAGGCCUGCCGCCUCCUCUUCUGCAGCUCAGCCCUCAGCCUCUUCCAUGCAUUCCUAGCAAUGCCUCUCAGAAGUGGGGUUCCCUUCCUCUGAGUUCCCUGGGCUUUUUUUCUUUUCUUUUUGCAUUUAUUCUGCCUUGGUUUUUAGCCAUCUCUCAGGAUGGCAGUACAUCCUGGAGGUGGAAGGACUAGGUUCAAACCCUGGCCCCUACCACUUACAACCAUAUAAGCUUAGGCAAGUUACUAGACCCUCCUCUACACUACUGUUUGUCUGUAAAAUGGAGGUAAGAGAAUCAUCCUCCCUACCUCCUGAAGAUGUGUGAGAUGAAAUGAAAUGAUGCUUAGAAAGCACUUGGCACCGUUCCUAUCACAUGGUUAGCACUCAGCAAAUAUUGCCUAUUAGGAUUUAACCCAUGUUUUUACCCUUUCCCCAACACACCCCUUUUGGCUGGCUGGCUGAAUUCGAAAGACUGAGCAAAUUCCAGGGUAAACAAGAUGGCACUAUCCAAACAAGAGGAAGGAGAAUAUGUCCAAGAGCCAGGUUUGUUUGUGUCAAGACCUUCCAGAUCCAGUGGUUCUUCAUCUUUUGGGAGAUUGAUGAAACAGUUUGAUCCAUUGCACACAAAAUAUGUAUAUAGUGCACACGUCUAUUGCCUGUGACUUAAGAGGGCACACAGGAUGCCUAGUCCACCCCACUGAUCCCAAACCCAGAGUCAAGAACCUUUUAGCUCAAGGGUCAGCAAACUUACUCUAAAAAGACAGCUAGUAAAUAUCUUUGGCUUUGUGAGCCGUAUAUAGUCUGUUUUACAACUAGUCAAUUCUGCUGUUGCAGUGCAAAAGUAGCCACAGAUAACAUACAAAUGAUUGAGUAUGGCUGUGUUCCAAUAAAACCGUACUUAUGAACACCAAAUUUGAAUUUCAUGUCAUUUUCAUGCAUCACAAAAUCUUAUUCUUCUCUUGAUUUUUUUUCUCACCCACUUAAAAAAUAAAAACCAUUCUUAGCAGGAGACCCGCCAAAAAAAAAAAAAAAAA